rnacentral:rRNA from 1 species
AUUAAAGUUGUUGCGGUUAAAAAGCUCGUAGUCGAAUUUGUGUCCCGCGCCGCCGGUUCAUCGUACGCGGUGUUAACUGGCGUGCCGCGGGACGUCCUGCCGGUGGGCCUAACUCCGCAAGGACGUCGGCCCGACCCAAUCCCGCCGCGGUGCUCUUCAUUGAGUGUCGAGGUGGGCCGGCACGUUUACUUUGAACAAAUUAGAGUGCUUAAAGCAGGCUAAAACUUCGCCUGAAUACUGUGUGCAUGGAAUAAUGGAAUAGGACCUCGGUUCUAUUUUGUUGGUUUUCGGAACCCCGAGGUAAUGAUUAAUAGGAACGGAUGGGGGCAUUCGUAUUGCGACGUUAGAGGUGAAAUUCUUGGAUCGUCGCAAGACGGACAGAAGCGAAAGCAUU